rnacentral:rRNA from 1 species
UGGGGAAUAUUGCACAAUGGGGGAAACCCUGAUGCAGCGACGCCGCGUGGAGGAAGAAGGCCCUCGGGUUGUAAACUCCUGUCUUCGGGGACGAUAAUGACGGUACCCGAGGAGGAAGCCACGGCUAACUACGUGCCAGCAGCCGCGGUAAAGCGUAGGUGGCAAGCGUUGUCCGGAAUUACUGGGUGUAAAGGGAGCGCAGGCGGAGCGGCAAGUUGGAGGUGAAACCCAUGGGCUCAACCAUGAACUGCCUUCAAAAACUGCCGGAUCUUGAGAUGGUGUAGAGGUAAGCGGAAUUCCCGGUGUAGCGGUGGAAUGCGUAGAUAUCGGGAGGAACACCAGUGGCGAAGGCGGCUUACUGGGCACUAACUGACGCUGAGGCUCGAAAGCAUGGGUAGCAAACAGGAUUAGAUACC